GUAUAUCAACUGUACAAUUGCUGAUGUCAUAAGAGGAACUGUGUAAAAGGGCAUGGUUUUCUAUAGGUAACCUAGAGAUUAGCUACCUCUGAGUUACCUUAGUCUCAGGUGAGAUAGUUAAGUACUGAUCAGAUCUAUUGUGAUCGCAGAAUAAGUGACAUCAUUAACAUAUUAAACUUUUGUAUUCAUAAUCUGGUGUAAAACAGUGGUGGUGAAUGUAGCAUGGAAUGUGUUGUUCCACCAGAUUAUGCAUUUUAAUUAUUUAAUUUUACUUUAUUUUCUCUGUGUAUUAGUGGUAUAGGGACUGUUAUUUUGAAAAGGAAUUUUAGUUAAAGGUAACAGUCCCAGCAUGCACGUCAGCUGACGUCAUGCACAAGUAAGAGAUGAAAUUCGCUGUAAAGCUGGAGAUUACUCUCUUUCCGGGAUGUAGUAGUGGAAAGAAGUUGGCACCAACAUGGUGGAAUACCUCCAGCAGGCUGAAGUGUCAAGGCCGUACCCCUACUGUACAUCCUGACGUUGGGAGAUAAUGACCAGCGCUGCUCUCAGGCAUUCGUCAUUCUGGUGGGACAGGCUCUGGAGCAAUGCACACUACUUGGGGCGGUUGAUGUGUGCUUCAAGGCAUUUUAUAUUUUUGACAUUAACUAUUUAAAGUAGUGUGCACCUGUAUAGGACUUUUUGUAAUGUUGCUAUGAAAUAGCGAGGCCUACUUGAAAAGUCAUAGACAGUGUUUGUAUGUUAAAACGGAACCAGGGCUGGAUAGUUUUGUUCUGCAGAAAAGAUAUCUAAUGUCACAGAGAGAUCCUGCUCUGUAGAAGCUGCCUCAGCCUAUUUGUGUUAUUACUCCAUUCUGCCCUUGUGAGUAAUAGUAUGGUAAUGAUGUCGCUGUUGAUUAUCUGUUCUUGUGCUUUUGAAAAAUAAACGUUUUUUCUAUGAACAUUUAA